GCCGAGGCGGUGCCCGAUGCCGAGGCGGUCCCCGAUGCUAUGCCCGAUGCCGAGGCGGUGCCCGAUGCCGAGGCGGUGCCCGAGGCGGUCCCCGAUGCUAUGUCCGAUGCAGAGGCGGUGCCCGAUGCCGAGGCGGUGCCCGAUGCGGUGCCAGAGACGGUGCCAGAGACGGUUCCCGAUGUAAUGCCCGAGACCGAGGCGGAGGUCGAGGCGGUGCCCGAUGUUGUUCCCGAUGCCGAGGCGGUGCCCGAGGCUGUGCCCGAUGCCGAAGCGGUGCCCGAUGCUGUUCCGGAGGCCGAGGCGGUGCCCGAUGCGCAGGCCGAGGUCGUUCCCGAGGCGGGGUCCUUGUCCAACGCGGUUCCUGAGGCCAUUCCUGAGGCCGUUCCUGAGACCGUUCCCGAGGCGGUGCCCGAUGCCGAGGCCGUUCCCGAGGCGGUGUCCUUGUCCAAUGCCGUUCCUGAGGCCGUUCCUGAGACCAUUCCCGAGGCGGUGCCCGAUGCCGAGGUCGUUCCCGAGGCGGUGUCCUUGUCCGAUGCCAUUCCCGAGGCGGUGCCCGAUGCUGUUCCGGAGGCCGAUGCGGGGCCCGAGAUGGUUCCGGAGGCGAUACCCGUGUCCAAGGCCGUUCCCGAGGCGGUGCCCUUGUCUGAUGCCGUUCCCAAUGCCGUGACCUGGCCAUCGCCACAGCCUGCUCCUUACUGGCUCCCCGAUUGGCAGGUUCCGUUCGGGCCACUCAAAUGGCGAAUUCCUCCCUGGCCGUCUGCACAACGAGAAUGGACUGAUCCACCGUGGCCACCUGAACUGCCUGGCCCCUCGUGGUCCCCUGAACUUUCGGGUCCACCGUGGCCACCUGAACUGCCUGGUCCCUCGUGGUCCCCUGAACUUUCGGGUCCACCAUGGCCCCCUGAUCUGACCGA
ensembl:lncRNA